rnacentral:rRNA from 1 species
CUUUUUUUACAAAACAUGUCUUAAUGUUUUUUAUUAUUAAGUCUGGCCUGCUCAAUGAUUUUAUUAAAUAGCCGCAGUAUUUUGACUGUGCGAAGGUAGCAUAAUCAUUUGUCUUUUAAUUGAAGGCUUGUAUGAAUGGUCGGAUGAAAAAAUAACUUUCUUUACAUUAAAUGUUGAAUUUAAUUUUUUGGUUAAAAAGCUAAAAUAAUUGAAUGGGACGAGAAGACCCUAUAGAAUUUUAUUAAAUUGUAGUUUUGAAUUUAUUGGUUAAUUAUUAUUUUUAAUUAUAAUUUUAAUUUUGUUGGGGUGACAUUGAGAUUUAUUUAACUCUCAUAAUAUAAAGUUUAUUUAUUUAUAUAUAAAAGAUCCUAUUUUAUGGAUUAAUAGAUUAAAUUACCUUAGGGAUAACAGCGUAAUUUUUCUGGAGAGUUCUUAUCAAUAGAAAAGUUUGCGACCUCGAUGUUGGAUUAAAAUUAGAUUUAAGUGCAGAAGCUUAAUUUUCUAGGUCUGUUCGACCUUUAAAUUUUUACAUGAUCUAGUUUCAACCGGGAGA